rnacentral:rRNA from 1 species
AUUGAACGCUGGCGGCAGGCCUAACACAUGCAAGUCGAGCGGAUGAAGGGAGCUUGCUCCUGGAUUCAGCGGCGGACGGGUGAGUAAUGCCUAGGAAUCUGCCUGGUAGUGGGGGAUAACGUCCGGAAACGGGCGCUAAUACCGCAUACGUCCUGAGGGAGAAAGUGGGGGAUCUUCCGACCUCACGCUAUCAGAUGAGCCUAGGUCGGAUUAGCUAGUUGGUGGGGUAAAGGCCUACCAAGGCGACGAUCCGUAACUGGUCUGAGAGGAUGAUCAGUCACACUGGAACUGAGACACGGUCCAGACUCCUACGGGAGGCAGCAGUGGGGAAUAUUGGACAAUGGGCGAAAGCCUGAUCCAGCCAUGCCGCGUGUGUGAAGAAGGUCUUCGGAUUGUAAAGCACUUUAAGUUGGGAGGAAGGGCAGUAAGUUAAUACCUUGCUGUUUUGACGUUACCAACAGAAUAAGCACCGGCUAACUUCGUG